rnacentral:rRNA from 1 species
AACGAACGCUGGCGGCAUGCCUAACACAUGCAAGUCGAACGAGACCUUCGGGUCUAGUGGCGCACGGGUGCGUAACGCGUGGGAACCUGCCUUUAGGUUCGGAAUAACUCCCCGAAAGGGGUGCUAAUACCGGAUAAUGUCUUCGGACCAAAGAUUUAUCGCCUUUGGAUGGGCCCGCGUUGGAUUAGCUAGUUGGUAGGGUAAAAGCCUACCAAGGCGACGAUCCAUAGCUGGGCUGAGAGGAUGAUCAGCCACACUGGGACUGAGACACGGCCCAGACUCCUACGGGAGGCAGCAGUGGGGAAUAUUGGACAAUGGGCGAAAGCCUGAUCCAGCAAUGCCGCGUGAGUGAUGAAGGCCUUAGGGUUGUAAAGCUCUUUUACCCGGGAUGAUAAUGACAGUACCGGGAGAAUAAGCUCCGGCUAACUCCGUG